GAUGAACGCUGGCGGCGUGCCUAAUACAUGCAAGUCGAGCGAACGGACGAGAAGCUUGCUUUUCUGAUGUUUGCGGCGGACGGGUGAGUAACACGUGGAUAACCUACCUAUAAGACUGGGAUAACUUCGGGAAACCGGAGCUAAUACCGGAUAAUAUUUUGAACCGCAUGGUUCAAAAGUGAAAGACGGUCUUGCUGUCACUUAUAGAUGGAUCCGCGCUGCAUUAGCUAGUUGGUAAGGUAACGGCUUACCAAGGCAACGAUGCAUAGCCGACCUGAGAGGGUGAUCGGCCACACUGGAACUGAGACACGGUCCAGACUCCUACGGGAGGCAGCAGUAGGGAAUCUUCCGCAAUGGGCGAAAGCCUGACGGAGCAACGCCGCGUGAGUGAUGAAGGUCUUCGGAUCGUAAAACUCUGUUAUUAGGGAAGAACAUAUGUGUAAGUAACUGUGCACAUCUUGACGGUACCUAAUCAGAAAGCCACGGCUAACUACGUG
rnacentral:rRNA from 1 species